rnacentral:rRNA from 1 species
GGCGAACGGGUGCUGUAACACGUGGACAUCUACCUUCUCGACCGGGAUAACUCGCCGAGAAGGCGAACUAAUACCGUGCAUAAGCCCCCGGGGUCUAAGUGAUUCAGAGGGAAAGAUGGCGGGCACUGUAAACAAGCUGUCACAGAGAAGAUGGGUCCGCGUGUCCAUCAGCUAGUUUGGCGGGGUAACUGGCCCACCGAAGGCGACGACGGGUCAGCUGGUCUGAUGAUGGAUGAUCACGCGCACACUGUGAAGCUGAUGACACGGUCCAGACUCAUAACGGGAGGCAGCAGUGGGGAAUCUUGCGCAAUGGGCGAAAGCCUGACGCAGCAACGCCGCGUGUGUGAUGAAGGUCUUCGGAUCGUAAAGCACUGUCGCGAGGGAAGACGAGCCGCUUGAUAAUACCAAGUGGAAGAGACGGUACCUCGAGAGGAAGCACCGGCUAACUCUGUGCCAGCCGCCGCGG